rnacentral:rRNA from 1 species
UACAGAGGUCUCAAGCGUUGUUCGGAUUCAUUGGGCGUAAAGGGUGCGUAGGCGGCGCGGUAAGUCGGGUGUGAAAUCUCGGGGCUUAACUCCGAAACUGCAUUCGAUACUGCCGUGCUUGAGGACUGGAGAGGAGGGUGGAAUUCCUGGUGUAGCGGUGAAAUGCGUAGAUAUCAGGAGGAACACCGGUGGCGAAGGCGGCCCUCUGGACGGAUACUGACGCUGAGGUGCGAAAGCGUGGGGAGCAAACAGG